rnacentral:rRNA from 1 species
UACGAAGGGGACUAGCGUUGUUCGGAUUUACUGGGCGUAAAGCGCGCGUAGGCGGAUCACUAAGUCAGGGGUGAAAUCCCGAGGCUUAACCUCGGAACUGCCUUUGAUACCGGUGAUCUGGAGAUCGGGAGAGGUUGGUGGAAUUCCGAGUGUAGAGGUGAAAUUCGUAGAUAUUCGGAGGAACACCAGAAGCGAAGGCGGCCAACUGGCCCGAUACUGACGCUGGAGGCGCGAAAGCGUGGGGAGCAAACAGG